rnacentral:rRNA from 1 species
GUUUGAUCCUGGCUCAGAUUGAACGCUGGCGGCAUGCCUUACACAUGCAAGUCGAACGGCAGCACGGGUGCUUGCACCUGGUGGCGAGUGGCGAACGGGUGAGUAAUACAUCGGAACGUACCUUAUCGUGGGGGAUAACGCAGCGAAAGCUGUGCUAAUACCGCAUACGCCCUGAGGGGGAAAGCGGGGGAUCGAAAGACCUCGCGCGAUUAGGGCGGCCGAUGCCUGAUUAGCUUGUUGGUGGGGUAAAAGCCCACCAAGGCGACGAUCAGUAGCUGGUCUGAGAGGACGAUCAGCCACACUGGGACUGAGACACGGCCCAGACUCCUACGGGAGGCAGCAGUGGGGAAUUUUGGACAAUGGGGGCAACCCUGAUCCAGCAAUGCCGCGUGAGUGAAGAAGGCCUUCGGGUUGUAAAGCUCUUUUGUCAGGGAAGAAACACCGGCUCUAACACAGUCCGGGAAUGACGGUACCUGAAGAAUAAGCACCGGCUAACUACGUGCCAGCAGCCGCGGUAAUACGUAGGGUGCAAGCGUUAAUCGGAAUUACUGGGCGUAAAGCGUGCGCAGGCGGUUAUACAGGACAGGCGUGAAAUCCCCGGGCUUAACCUGGGAAUGGCGCCUGUGACUGUAUAGCUAGAGUGUGUCAGAGGGGGGUAGAAUUCCGCGUGUAGCAGUGAAAUGCGUAGAUAUGUGGAGGAAUACCAAUGGCGAAGGCAGCCCCCUGGGAUAACACUGACGCUCAUGCACGAAAGCGUGGGGAGCAAACAGGAUUAGAUACCCUGGUAGUCCACGCCCUAAACGAUGCUGACUAGUUGUUCGGGAUUUUCAUCCUGAGUAACGUAGCUAACGCGUGAAGUCAGCCGCCUGGGGAGUACGGUCGCAAGAUUAAAACUCAAAGGAAUUGACGGGGACCCGCACAAGC